CACUUCUAAGGAAGGCAGCAGGCGCGCAAAUUACCCAAUCCUGACUCAGGGAGGUAGUGACAAGAAAUAACAAUAAACCGGCUUAUGCCGGUUUAAUUGGAAUGAGUACAAUUUAAACAUCUUAACGAGGAACAAUUGGAGGGCAAGUCUGGUGCCAGCAGCCGCGGUAAUUCCAGCUCCAAUAGCGUAUACUAAAGUUGUUGCAGUUAAAAAGCUCGUAGUUGGAUUUCUGUGGGGACGGAGCGGCCGGCCGCAACACGCGGUUCGAGCUAGCGCUUUCCCUACAUCCUGCCGCGAACCGUGCUACCAUUAGUUCGGUGGCGCCGGGGAUCGGCUCGAUUACUUUGAGAAAAAUAGAGUGUUCAAAGCAGGCCACACGCCUUGAAUAAGUUAGCAUGGAAUAAUAACUAAGGACUUCGGUUCUAUUUUGUUGGUGUUCGGGACUGAAGUAAUGAUUGAUAGGGACAGUUGGGGCGGUCUGUAUUCCAAAGCGAGAGGUGAAAUUCUUAGACCUUCGGAAGACAAACAGCUGCGAAAGCGUUCCGCAAGGAUGUUCCCUUUGAUCAAGAACGAAAGUUGGGGGAUCGAAGACGAUCAGAUACCGUCGUAGUCUCAACUAUAAACUAUACCAGCUAGGGAUCGGCCAACGUUAUUUUAUACCGACUUGGUCGGCACCUUAUGAGAAAUCAAAGCAUCUGGGUUCCGGGGGGAGUAUGGUCGCAAGGCUGAAACUUAAAGGAAUUGACGGAAGGGCACCACCAGCCGUGGAGCCUGUGGCUUAAUUUGACUCGACACGGGAAAACUUACCAGGUCCAGACAUAGUAAGGAUUGACAGAUUGAUAGCUCUUUCUUGAUUCUGUGGGUGGUGGUGCAUGGCCGUUCUUAGUUGGUGGAGUGAUUUGUCUGGUUAAUUCCGUUAACGAACGAGACCCCAGCCUGCUAAAUAGCGCGUGUGAGCUUUGCUCGCAGCGAGCUUCUUAGAGGGACUAUGAUGCGCGAUAGCACAUGGAAGUUUGGGGCAAUAACAGGUCUGUGGUGCCCUUAGAUGUUCUGGGCCGCACACGGGCUACACUGGCGCCUGCAACGAGCAUAUCAGCUGGCCCGAGAGGGUCUUGGCUAAUCUUUUGAACCGGCGCCGUGCUUGGGAUUGACCUUUGCAAUUGUUGGUCAUGCAACGAGGAAUGCCUUGUAAACGCGAGUCAUCAGCUCGCAUUGAAUACGUCCCUGCCCUUUGUACACACCGCCCGUCGCUCCUACCGAUGAAUGUUCCGAUGAAAUUUUCGGAGAGUGCCUGUGAACUUGGCUCUGCCUUGCGAACGGGAAGCUCAAAGUCACUUAAAUCUGAACAUUUCGAGG
rnacentral:rRNA from 1 species